GACGUAGGGCGCGAGCGUUGUCCGGAUUUAUUGGGCGUAAAGAGCUCGUAGGCGGCUCGUUGCGUCGGCUGUGAAAACCCGCAGCUCAACUGUGGGCUUGCAGCCGAUACGGGCGGGCUGGGAUUCGGUAGGGGAGACUGGAAUUCCUGGUGUAGCGGCGAAAUGCGCAGAUAUCAGGAGGAACACCGAUGGCGAAGGCAGAUCUCUGGGCCAUUACUGACGCUGAGGAGCGAAAGCGUGGGGAGCGAACAGG
rnacentral:rRNA from 1 species